UGGGGAAUCUUGCGCAAUGGGCGAAAGCCUGACGCAGCAACGCCGCGUGAGCGAAGAAGGCCUUCGGGUUGUAAAGCUCUGUCAGAGGGAAAGAAGGCACCUGGGUUAAUAGCCCAAGGGCUGACGGUACCCCCAAAGGAAGCCACGGCUAACUACGUGCCAGCAGCCGCGGUAAUACGUAGGUGGCGAGCGUUGUCCGGAAUCAUUGGGCGUAAAGAGCGCGUAGGUGGCUUGUCAGGUCCGAUGUGAAAACCUGGGGCUCAACUCCAGGCCUGCAUCGGAAACCGGCUUGCUAGAGUCUGGGAGAGGAGAGUGGAAUUCCUGGUGUAGCGGUGAAAUGCGUAGAUAUCAGGAGGAACACCGGUAGCGAAGGCGGCUCUCUGGAACAGUACUGACGCUGAGGCGCGAAAGCUAGGGGAGCGAACAG
rnacentral:rRNA from 1 species